GGAUAUGAGGACAAGCCAGCUGCAGCAGCUCUUACCCUAUGGAUCAUCAGAGUUGAUUUGGCUGAUCUAGCUGCCUAGGUAGGUGUCUGCUUUCUCUUUGACCAAUCCAGGAGCAUCCUUGCUGAAGCUGUCUGUUCUACUAAAGAGGAUCUUCCCAGAAUAGAGGAGGACCAGACUUUAGUUGAGGGUAUGCAAGUAGCAUACCUUCUAAGAGCUCUCAAGAUAGUCCUCACUCACCUAUACCUAGCAAGUUUUUCUUUAAUAUUUUUAUACGUUCACAUCUUACAUGAAAGUUUUUCAGC
rnacentral:snRNA from 14 species